AACAAAUAGGUUUAUGAAGUUAGAGUGUUACUGGGGAACUUUGCAUGCAAGACAGAACAGCGUUAAGAACAUGUGCGAUAUGAUGUGGUGUAAUAAAUCUCUCAACAUAGUUAUGUUUCUUCUUUUUUUUUUUUUUUUUACUCUUAUUAAUACUAUUGUAACGUUGUACAAGAACAAAACCAUGUGAUUAUCGUACUGGCUUAGAAAAAAAUAUAAUAUAUUGAUAAAUUUUAUAAUUUUUCUAGAAGUCAUGUGUGCAAAUCUCUUGAAGCAAAAUGAAUAUUAUAUAUGUGCAUCCUUGAUUACGUUUCUGUACGUAAUAGUAAAUGCAAUACCAAGAUGGCAAGUU
rnacentral:lncRNA from 1 species